AUGGUAUUAGACGUUAACUUGUCUUCGUUGAUGUUAUUUUUCAGACAGAUGCCUUGUAAGUUUGUACCUAGUACGUACUUACCUAUGCAACCUGUGAUGGAGAGUGCCAUCUCCGCGGAGCUCCAACGUCUAUACUCAUUGUUGAUCCUAACGAGAGAGCGUGUGCAGAGGGACAAACGGGAUGAUGUUAUAACUAAGGGCACGAUUUUAGAACUGGUUGUGAAGAACUCUGAAUCGAACCACUUUGCCAGGAAAUUAUUAGAAAUAGCAAUGAUGAAUGAUGGGUCCCGAUCGUUUGACCUUGGCGCUCUCAAUGCCUUGAAAGCUUCGUUUGAUGAUUUUGAAGCGGAGUGUUACUCAGUGGCCGCUCAGGACGUAUGCAGUGAGCCCGAGUUCUUCGGGUUCACGCAGGAGGUCGUGAGACAAACCAUGGAGACUCCGAUCAUCAAAGAAUCCGAAUACAAGGCUAAGAGAAUGACGGGGAUAAUGUGCAGUAAUGACCUAGCUAUUAACUCGCGUGACAUACUCAAAAUGUCCUUCAACGAGAUGUCUCUACAUUUAAGCGGACGUCGACUAAUGGCCCGAAUGUAUGAGCGUCCCGGGCGGUUGACUCUACCUAUAUGGUAUGAGUAUAAAGAAAGAUUAGUUACGCAAUGGCCUCCUGAAGCCGACACCUUCCAACUAGAGUUGCCUGAAGAUAGGGCUACUGUCUUCUCGGAGAGAAUACAUUUCAGAAGCUUCGAUCAUGUAUUUCUGACUCCUGAUGGAUGGAAGGCCUUUUCCGAAGAUGCAUAUCUGCUUGGGGUAACCUCAAGGCGGUUCUGGUAUGUAGGGAGAAAUUGCUAUACUGAAUCAUAUAGUAAGAGCAAAUUAUUGAGUAAAGCUAAUAGGAAGGUACAGAAUUGGCGAAGGUAUGUGAAGUUCCAUGGAGUAAUUGACGUGAUAUCGCAAUCUAUGUCUGAGUGAUGACAUUAGCUCGCACGAUGUCCUUUUUGUCGGCCUCCUGUGGUGUAGUGGUUGUAGCGCUGGCCCUAUGACCAAGAGGUCCCGGGUUCGAUUCCCGGCCAGGUGAUCUGAGUUUGGGGGGAGUUGGGGGUUUGGGUUUGGGGGGCAAUGGUCACCUGGGCUUGGGUAAUAAGCGUGGGAUUAGCCAUAGGCUAUUUGAAAUUGGUAAAAAAAAAAAAAAAAAAAAAAAAAAUUAGACCUCAUACUGUUUUUUCUGAGUCAAAGACAAGGACCUAUAUGCCCACAUUCUCAAUCGAAGGCUCCAUAGGUUCAGGUAAGACAUAUUUGUUAAACUUAUUGAACGAGCAUCAAAUUUAGAACUAUCCAGAACCUGUAGAAGUGUGGAGGAUUAUCACAAUAUUAAUGUUUUGCAAAAUUAUUAUAAUAACCCAAAAGAAUUCACUUUUCCCUUUCAAAUUCUGGUACAACUAUCCAUGAUAAAAACGUUCUGUAACGUGAGGAAACUAGACAAAACCAAAAACUACAUAAUUGAAAGAUCUUUACAAUCAGCAGUUCACGUUUUUAAUGAAUUAAGAGUAGGUAGCAAAUAUAUGUUUUAGCACACCUGCAUCUUGCACUUUGUGCUUAUCAUGAGCACACCUGCAUCUUGCACUGUGUGCUUAUCUCGAGCACAAACUGCAUCCUGCACUGUGUGCUCAUCAUGAGCACAAACUGCAUCAGUAGGUGUAAAAUGCGGAUACCCGGACAGAAUACAUUUUAUGCCGGUUUUACUACGCCGCCUGAAGCAAGUGAAUUACCGCCUCCGCCAGCAGUUUGGAUUUUUAUUAAUUUUAUUUUAUCGAAAAAUUUAGCCUCAAAUGAAACUGAUAAGAGAGGUGUUAGUGACUCCUGUGCGAAGGUGUAGUAUGGUGGUGUGAGAGAGAGUGUUUCUUCCUGCGCGUAAAGGUCAAUAGGGUCGCGUUGCGCUUUUACUUUCGUUUGCUUUAAAUAUGCAGCCUUUGCAUCUGGAAUUCUAGUAGUGUAUUCUUCGUUGGUUAUGGAGCAUUUGACUGACGCAGCUGAUUUUCUUGCUCGUCUUCGCGAAAUUGUCAGUACUUGUUCUCGGUGUAGUAGGUGUGGUGGACCAGGACGUGUGCCGUUUCGCCUUUGCGAACUUGGUUGUAGGACGCCUUGUCCUGAGUGUUUACCUGCCGAAGUUACUCUAUUUUUUGCGAAGGGUGUGGCCGAAGGUCGCGUGUUGUCAACUGUGCGCUCCAUAACUACGUGUUCAGGUUAUUGGAGAGUUUUUCCUUCAUCAAUUGAUUUGUAAGUUCUAUACACUUAUUAUGCUUAUUUUUUAAAAUGUUUAUGUAAUGUAUGGUUAGGUUAGGUUAGGUUAGGUUGUAAUCUGGAAUUCUAGUAGUGUUUCCUUCGUUGGUUAUGGAGCAUUUGACUGACGCAGCUGAUUUUCUUGCUCGUCUUCGCGAAAUUGUCAGUACUUGUUCUCGGUGUAGUAGGUGUGGUGGACCAGGACGUGUCCCGUUUCGCCUUUGCGAACUUGGGUGUAGGACGCCUUGUCCUGAGUGUUUACCUGCCGAAGUUACUCUAUUUUUUUGCGUAGGGUGUGGCCGAAGGUCGCGUGUUGUCAACUGUGCGCUCCAUAACUACGUGUUCAGGUUAUUGGAGAGUUUUUCCUUCAUCAAUUGAUUUGUAAGUUCUAUACACUUUAUUAUGCUCAUUUUUUAAAAUGUUUAUGUAAUGUAUGGUUAGGUUAGGUUAG
rnacentral:lncRNA from 1 species